rnacentral:rRNA from 1 species
GACGAACGCUGGCGGCGUGCUUAACACAUGCAAGUCGAACGAAGUGGCGAACGGGUGAGUAACGCGUAAUCAACCUGCCCUUCAGAGGGGGACAACAGUUGGAAACGACUGCUAAUACCGCAUACUGAAGGAGGGGAUUGCGUCUGAUUAGCUAGUUGGAGGGGUAACAGCCCACCAAGGCGAUGAUCAGUAGUCGGGCUGGUAGGAGUAACGGCCACGUUGGGACUUAGACACGGCCCAAAACCCUACGGGAGGCAGCAGUGGGGAAUCAUCCGCAAUGGACGAAAGUCUGGCGGAACAACGCCGCGUGAGUGAUGACGGCCUUCGGGGUGUAAAGCUAUGUUAAUCGGGACGCGGUACCGGAAUAGAAAGCCACGGCUAACUACGUGCCAGCCGCCGCGGUAAUUC